UCUGGCGGCCUUAGCGCGGUGGUCCCACCUGACCCCAUGCCGAACUCAGAAGUGAAACGCCGUAGCGCCGAUGGUAGUGUGGGGUCUCCCCAUGCGAGAGUAGGGAACUGCCAGGC
rnacentral:rRNA from 4 species